UGGUCUGUAGUGGUUAUUUCGUCUACUGUGUAAGGAAGCUACUUUGGCUUACUAGCGUGUAUUGGAUUCCCCUGAGCUUUUGCUCGGCUUUGAAAGUCUCAUGCUCUAUUUUCUUUAUCCUACUCUCUGGGUUUUCUUUUUCUUGGUGCCUAUUGGUGUCCACUUUUAUUUUAGUUUUGGUUGUUGCAAUGUCCUUUGACUUGUGAUAUAUUGUUUGAAUUUUUAUGACAACAAAAAGUAUCAGAUGAAGGAGUUCUCAAAAUAUUAUGAAAUAUAAUUAC
rnacentral:lncRNA from 1 species